rnacentral:lncRNA from 1 species
AUAAAGGAUGCUGUGUAAUAAUUGUAUUGUUCAACUUUUUUUUUUUUUUUUUACACUGUUGUUUUUAUUCAUCUGAUGAUUUCUCAUCCAACCCUACUCUCCAUCGUCCUCUUGCAAAAUUAAAAAAUCUCUCCCCAAAAAUAUCAAUUCUAACUGUGAAAUUGAAAUCCUCAGAAGAUCGUUUAAUCUUUUUUUCUCUAUUAUUGUUUGAAUAUCUUUCUUUUUGUUGUUAAUCGCUUGUUUCUUUCGCCCCUCGCUUGGUUCAAAUUCGACGAACAAGAGGAAAUUUUUCAUAGAAAGUAUACUGUAACACCUUUAUCCUACUUUAUCUCUUGCCUUUUGUUGAGUAUGCUUUUUUGAUUUCUAUAUUCCUAUUUCUCUUCGAUCGAUCUCUACUUUGUGUUUAGGAUUUUCUAAAUUGUAUUGAGAUUUUCUGUCAUCUCCAUCUUUUGCUUGUUCUUUUGUGUAUUUGUUCGAUUUUUAGAUCUGCAUUUUGUUAAUUAUUUUCGUGUUGGGGUUUUUUCGAACUCUGUACGAGUUUCUAUUUCAUUUUUUCCAUCUCUUCUUUCUACAUGUGUACAUCUUCGGCUUUUUUCUUACCUCUAUUUUAUUUAUUUUAUUAUUUGUUUUAUAUGUUUUGGGCUUUUCUCAGAUUUGUUCUACAUGGUUAAAUUAAAUUUAUUCGAGUUGUUCACAUGAAAAGUUCCAUUGGAAGUAAUUUUUCGUAAAUAAUUGCUCCUUUAAACUAUAGUAGGCUUCUAGGGGGAUUUCUUUCUAAAUUUAAUGAUGCCCGUUUUGGAAGAGACUCAAAAUUUAUACUUGAACAAGGAUUCAUCAUUUAGAGGUAAUUCCUUUACUAAUAUUUACUACCAUAUGUUAUUCUACUUGCCAAAAUAAAUUAUUCCUCUUCGCCGUGUUCUUUACCAAUUUCUUGUCAUUUCAAAUUCUGUCCUUAAAAUAUUUAUUGCCUAUAUUGCUAUAACUGAUUAUGUAUCGCUUGACAUCUUCGACAUCUGUUUCCAUUUACAUUGUCAAAUGCUCGUUACAUCCAUUCAUUAUGAAAUUACUAAAUUAACUAUUGCUUUUGUUGUUGUAUGAGGCAGUUGUUAAAUAAUUUCAAGCUAGAUGUGAAAAAACCAAUUUUCCUGUGAUCGAUAUAGUAAGUAUUCAUGAUCAAUUUCCAUUUCAAAUAAGUUAUUAUUAUUCAAUAUUACUUCCAAUAUUGUAAACUGAUUAUUAAUGUAUCAUAACUGUUGAACUACUUAAAAUUUAUUCCUUUCAAAAGUAGCCUGGACGAUCCAUUUCACAUGUUUAGCUGAAAUUAGAAUUUGUGGUGUAGUUUUCACAUACUUUUAAAAAUUAAUAUUAUUUUCACAUAAUGGAUAAUUAUUUAUUAUGAGAUUGUUAAAGAGUUUCUUUUGCUUCUCAAUUCUAAUUAUUGGCUAUUCAUCUUUAUUGACUUCAAGCUGUUAUUAAGAAGAAAUGUAGCUUAAAUGCUACCAAUGUUGGUAAAGAGGUUGGCUUUGCCCCUAAUAUUUAGGUUGAACGUUUUAUUUUGGUGGUUUUACUUUCUCGCCCUUCAAUUUCUACAAUAGACAUUUACAGUAUUAUGUUUGUUCAAUUUCAAGAGAACAAAGGUCUUCAAUUGAUCAAGACAACCAUUGCUAAAGUAGGUUAUACAGCAAAAGUUCCUUCUUCCCUUUUCUUUUCACGUAUGUGUUCAGUUCAUUCAAUGUUCUAUAAUCACCUUGUAUUUCUUCUGUCUUCACCUUGUGAAAGAGUAAAACUUCUAAGGCUUGCUCCUUCCUUCUACUCAAGUUGUCAUUGGAAUAAUGUUGCUGCAUCAGAAUUUUAUAGAUUGGACAAGACUUAUGAUUUGAAAUUGUCAAGGCAAUGGAUGCAAGCAAUCCUGGUAAUUAAUGCUAAUUGUUAGUUUUAAUACAAUUUUUUUUCAUUAUUGGUUCUAAAUUGUUUAAAUUAAACAUAUUUACUUUAGUUGACAAUUUGAUUCUAAUCAAUAAAAUCUAACAUAACUAUCCUCUUCAAUAGUCAUUUAAGCUCAAUUCGUAUUAUCGAAGGUUCUGACUACAUUAGGAUAUCAAAGCAGCUUUGAAAAUCAGGUCUACUCCAAAUUCAUUCUGAUUUCAAAUGCUUAACUAAUUUAUUUUUUGAAUCUGGCAGCUGAUCUUGCCUUUUUUGCAGUUGGAUAUAAACUACUAUGACCUUGGCCUUCCCCAGUGGGAUGUUACUAAUGACUAGAAAACCAUUCAAGUUGCAUAAGCUACUUUUAAGUUUGACAUCCUAUGUUCUCGAUUUUGAAUAAAUAUUGAACUUCUAAUAAUAGGGCUUCAAUAUCUUCAUUUUCUCAUUUGCUUCACAAUAUUUGCAGUAGAGAUAAAAUUUUCAACAUCUGUAUUUUUAAGUUUUCUAUUACAAUUUUCGUAAAUAUUUAUUCGUUCUUCUUCUUAGUUGAUAGUUGUUUUGUACAUUGAAAAUGUUGGCUCAAUUUAGUAAUUAAAUGUGCCACCAUUUCUCCUGGUAGGCACAACUCAUCUUAAAUUGUUCGAUGCUAUGCGUCAUUUUAUCUUUAAAUUAUGAAUCAGAUCAUUAUCCUUUCUACACAUUAAGGCUUUGUUUGCCUAUCAUUAUACAAUAUUGUUUUUUGUACAAUACUCAUUUUUAACCACAUAUUCUUCAAUAAAAAAAUAUUACACGUAAAUAAAAAAAUUUCCUUCUUUUUGAACCACACAUUUCAAUAUCAAUUACUGUUCUAUGAUAUAUUCUUCACAAAUAAUGGGGCACAAACAUCCCCUAAUAAAAGAGGAAAUGUGGUGUGCACUGUUCAUUUUUGUCCCCUCCUGUUCAUCAAAAUAUAUUUGGUAUAUAUUAUAUAUAUGUCUUUUGUACCUCUUGUAAGACCAUUUAUACCUUCCUAAUCUCUCCAAAGAAUCGUAGGCAGCCAUUAACUCCGAUAGACUUCAACGACGAGGACGACAAAGACGAAGACAUGACGAAUAAGGUUUCGGCGCGAUACCUGGUGUUGGAUAAGUUUUUGUUUUGGGUUCUCUAUUUUCCUUCUUUCUAAUCUUACUUUCUAAGUUUAGUCGACAUAUUUCUUUGCUUAAAUUUGCAGGUUUUGAGUAUAUAUGAUAUCUGGGCAUCUCAUAAAUAGCUUAAAUAGUUCUUUAGUUUUGGGAAUUCCAUAUUCUGAUUUUUUGAGGUAACUCUUUUACCUUUGUUUAGAUGUUUAUUCUUUGUAAUCUGUGUAUGUUAGUUUGUUUCUGAACUGAAAUUAACUUGUUCUUAAAUUCAUUCUUUUGAUUUGAUUUUUUGAAUUCAAGUUUAUUCCUAUUUUUAACUUCUGUUGUUUAAAUAGUGUAUGCCAAUAAUGUUGUGAGAAUUCAAUUUAUUAGUUCCAUGGUUCAUGUAGUGGACCUCCAUGAUUUUUCCAUUAGUAUCCUUGCUUGACGUCUGGCAAACAUCGAAUUAGUUGGAGUAGACCUCGGUUUGGCUCCAGAUCCCAAUCUCAAUAACUCGAGUGGUCAUUAGGUAAACAGAAUAGGACAAAUACAAACUCUUCAUCAAAAAACCAAAAACGAAAAAAAAAAUAAAUAAAUAAAAACAAAAAACAAUGAAUCAAUAUUUUCAUAUGCAGUGAGUAUUAUUUAUGAGUUGCUUCUCAUGUUCUAUGAAGAGUCGUGACAUGAGGAACAAAAGCAUUUAAUAACUUGGACUAAUUCUAUAUUUGUUUCUUCCAAAUAAGGAAAAAAAGGAUGUAAAAGAAUAUAUUUUUAUUUUUAAGUUGUUGAAUCUCCUAUAUUGAUCAAUAUGUGAUAUUCCAACUCCUCAUCACUACUGAAAUCCAUAUGAUAUUGCGAUUAAUUCGUUUUUGCCUAAAGUCAAUUACUCAAACAAAACUAGAUCUUCAUUCUUUAUUUAUUUUUUUUUCCUUUUUACUAUUUUAACUGAGUGAAUAUCAUUUCUUAGUGCAAUUAGUUAAUUUUGGGGUUUCACUUGCACGCAAUAGCCUAUAUUGAAGGAGACAAGUACUACGGGGCAAAAAGCAACUAUUAAUGUUUGGGAACCUAAAAUACAGCAGCAUCAUAACAAGUUCAAUUUAUCCCAAAUUUGGUUACUGGGUGGUUCAUUUGGUAAAGAUCUCAAUAGCAUUAAAGCUGGUUGGUAGGUAAAUUUUUCUCCAAAUUACUUGGUCGAUCAUAAUUUGUUGCAUUAAUCUAACGGAUUAGAAUGCAUGUUAUUUCAAGUUAGCCCCGAUGUCUACGAGGAUAACAACACAACCAUUUUUGAGUACAUACCUAUAGACAAUUUAAAAAAGAAUGCCAGCUCUUAUUAAAUAGAAGUUAAUUAUAAGUACAAAAACUCGAAGAAAGCAUUUAAUGAAGGUUCUUAACAGUUAGUCUUGUGUUUUUGGAGUACGCUUAUAUUAUGUGACAAUUAUGUUUCUCUUCCAAUCCAAUUUAGCACAUAGAAUAAAAUCUCAAGCAUAAAUAAAAUAGUUAAUCCCUAAGCAAGCUGGAGUAUAGUACGAAUCAUGCUAUAAAUUUCUAUGUCAAAAUUAUUUUUCUCAUAGUUGGAGUUUUUUUCAUGGGACAAGCUUUGAGAAAUCGUGUGGCAAUGAUGAGAGAAGAGAAAGAAAAUCUGAUUUUGGGAAUUCUUAAAAUGAAAGAAGGAUGAGAAUUGAUUAUUUAAAAAUGAAAGCGAUGAACGUGCCUUCAAAGUCAAGCAUUCACUCAAGAAGAGCGGCAAAAGUAAGAGUGGUGUUAGUGGCAACUUUGUUUCAUUUGAGGAUAUUUGGGAUGUUGAUGAGCUGCAAGCUAUUAAGGCAUUUCGACGAGCCUUGAUGCUAAUUGUCAAACAAGUUUGAUGAUUAUCAUAUGAUGUUGAGGUUAUUUUACAACACUUUUGCCACUUUUAGUCAAAUGUUCGCAUGUACGGAUGGAAAUAUAAACUGUAUCCUGGUUUAACAUGUAGACGUCCUGAUUUUGUCCUCAUUACUAUGGAGGUAACUAGUCACCCCUUCCUCCUUUAGUAGGACAAUUUAUGAUUUUGCUGCAUUACUUUAUAAUUUUUCCUAUAUUGUAGUCGGUAGUUAAGGUUUGAGGGAUUGCAUUUAAUAGUCUUUCCAGAUAAGUUAUUUUUAUAUUUCUUGUAAACAUUUUAGUAUAUAGUUGGAAAAGUACGCAACUAUUUGAACUUUUGUCGAUAAUUAUCCUGAAGUAACAUUUUGAUCAUUUAUUUGAUCAAAGAUAUUAGGUUUUGUGUAGUCUUGGUAGUGUAAUAUAUUGUAUCCUCCAAAUGUUGCAGACAUUUCAUAAAAUAUUUAUCAUCAAGAUGGUCGAAGUAUUAUGCUACCGUAGAAUAUUGUAAAGAGUUUUUUUGAUCUCAGGGCCACCACUAAGAUACAUGUAUGUUGCUAUUUCUUCCUUUUUCCAUAUGUAAGCAUUAUUUUUUCUCACUUAAAUGGCCGACUUUAAUUACUCGGUCUAUCUUCUUUUUGGAAUAUCUCACAUGUACUUGGAAACAAAUAUAGGAAUAAGUUGCUUAAAAUAAAAGAUAUCAAGUGCAAAACAAUGGAAACCGUUGUUGUAACUUGCGAACAUUGAAAUUUAUUUCGAGAUUUUGACGUAAAUUUUUGGGGUUGUGUAGUGAUCAGAAUUCUUUGGUGGAAAGGCCAAGGGGUUUGCCUUCGGUCAGAUAGAGGACCAUGCAAAAAUUCCGAGAUACAAAAGGUCAUUCCUAACAUGGGAGCUAUUAAAUUGACCUACAAAGAUCAUAUAUAAAUACUUGUGUUAUAAUUUUGAUCAUGUUAAAAAAUAAUAAAUGGCUCGAAAUCAUGUUACAGAUGGUGCUUGAUGGUGAAGCACGACUGGCAGGAAGGUGGUUGAAAUUCUUAACGACGACAAAGAGAUAGUUUAUGCUGAGCAACACUACUUGAUUGUAUAGACUAUGUCUGUUGUGCAUAUGAUUAGGCACAACUGCACAAUAUUUCUGUUUUAUGUGAGAUUUUUUUUUUAUUUAGUUGUUGAAGCAGGUAAAGGCAGUGACACCUCAACUGUUGAAUCUGGUUCUGAAGCUGAAAAAUAUUUCUUCACCAAAAGCUAUUCAGAGUUACUCGCACCUUUGAUUGACUCAUGUUCGUGAGGAGGUAUGGUCAAGCCUUACAAUUUCAAGAUUAGAUAUUUAAUUAUCUGCUAUUGAAAAUAAUGUUUUUUAUAAUUUUAAUUGAAUUCUCCCUUAUUUAAUGUUGAGUCUAGUGGUAGCUUGUGCAAAUAUUUAAUUUGGUGCUUGUAGGUCAGUUAGUGUUUGCUUAAUUGCAACACAAGUGCAAAAUUAUCAAUUGCUUAAUAUCGUCUCUUUGAUUGGUUUAAAAGCAUCUGUGUAUAUCCUAAAAAGGUGUCCAGUUACAUGGAAUUCAAAUUUUUAUAGGUCGGGUUGUGCAAUCUUUUGCUACUAAAAAAAUCAAGUAAAGUGACAUUAUUCAAUAGUUCAUUAGUUGUUUGAUAAUUAUUAUUUAUAAUGUCUAUCAUUUUAUUUAUGAUAUAAGGUACAAAUUCUUCAUGAAAUAUAACUAAGCAUACAGUUUCUUGUAAGAAAUAUUGCUUUCCUAUAAAACUAAUUUUCCUUACUUAAGAAAGGAUAACUUUACCAUGUACAGUGUCUUCUUUAUUCCAAAAGUCUCGUUGGUCAACAUUUUAUGAACUCAAUGUAAAGAGAGACCCACUAUAUAUAGAACCAUAGAACACAGCAGAAAUGUGUUGACACUUUCUCAAUUCCUCACAAAAAUUAACGUGGAGGAUCAACCUUUCUCUUCUAAUUAUCUCAAGUCCUUGUUUCUCAGGUUAAAGCUAAUGGAAACUCUAGCUCGGCAACUUAUCACGAUAUGAUGAGUACGUUCCUAUGGUUGACAAAGUUGUUGAUUCUGGAUGGAAAAAGCAUAAAUCACUUUCAAAACCUUAUAUUUUUUAAGGUUAGUUGCUUUAGAAGUUCCAUUUUUGUAUCUGUCUCCAUACAUAAUAUUUGAAUCAGUCUAUGAUCUUCUCAUGCUUAUUUAUUCAUCUAAUACUUGCUUCGAAGACCUAGGGGGUCUUUUUUUCUUCGGUUGAACCGAUCUUUCUAUCAUUGCAAACGUCGCCUUAGGUGCUCAUUUUUAUUCUUAUAACUCUUAUCAUAUGUUGAUCAUGUUUAGAGGUUAUCUAUGAUUAACUUAUGAUUGUUCUUUUGUUAAUAGCUAUGCCUUAAUAACAUUUUGUUAUAUCCUGAUAUUAAAUGACCGCUAUAUUGGAGAUAUAAGAUUAGCUAUGUCUAAAUAAGAUUACAAUGACAAUAGAUUAGUAACUAUUUUUUGAUUGCAUAGUAUAUGAUUUUUCCCCUCUUUGAUUUUUAUAUCUCCAGGUAUAAGAUAAGAGAGAAGGAAAAAAUUGUUCAAGCAUAUUCUUCUUAGGAUCUUGAAGAAAUUUUUGUAAGUUUAUUUGUAUUAAAUUGAUCCUAUAUCAAUUAUUUAUAGAAAUUAUUCUCAAAAUAAACGCUCCAUUAUUUUACCGGAUCCAUUUUAUGUGACUAUAAUAUUUUCCAUAUUCUAAAUGUGUUGGCUACCAAAUAUCCUGAUUAGGAUUGAGGUAAGAUUGGUGUUAUCUAUAAUCUAUGUACCAUAAUUAAUUUUAUUAAUAUUCUAGUUAAGCCACUUUCUAAUUUCAAAUUCUACACUAUGUUUUUCAGAGCUUUGGUAAAAGAAGAGGAUGCUUGAUAAACCCAUCUAAGAAACUGGAAGGAAAAUGACUUUUUACAGGCACAAGAAAAGAAACUUAUUGUGGAGAUUAAAAAAAAUGUAAAGCAAGGACAGAUGGUAAGUUGUUCUCUAUAGUUAAUUCCAUUUCAGUUUCUUAGACUUUAUGGCUCUCUUUUCUCCCAUAGGCCCCAUCCGCUUUAUUGCCCAGGUUGCUCCCAUAAAGACAUUUUGAAAAUCGUUUUUGAUUAGAUUGAUUUUAAAGAUAGAUUCAUUAAUGAUAAUUUAGUGAAUUUUCAUCUUCAUUAUAUGAACCAUCUAGAAGAAAUCAGAUAGAAAUAAUUUUAUUUUAUAACUUCAAUGAAAAUUCAAUGGAAUAUUAUUGUGUUUACUCUCUCUCUCUCUCUCUCUCAAAAAUGUGGUAUCCACAAGUUAUGCCCCUAUUUGAUUCUCAUUAAAAUGAGAAUACUUGACCAAAAAACAUUUUCCCACAAUGCCGAUGAAUUAAAAUUUUUAGAUUUGUCAAUAUACUUGUGAGAUGAACAGGAAAAGUAAAAUGCUCAUUGAAAAGUCAAUACCAGAAAUACCCUGCUUUGGCCAAUUAAAAUUACACAAGUACCCUAAACCCAUUACCAAAAGGGCAUGCUGCUUUGAAAAUGACAUAAAAAUGGGGCCAUAAGUCAUUGAGU